rnacentral:rRNA from 1 species
CCUACGGGUGGCAGCAGUGGGGAAUAUUGCACAAUGGGGGAAACCCUGAUGCAGCGACGCCGCGUGAGUGAAGAAGUAAUUCGUUAUGUAAAGCUCUAUCAGCAGGGAAGAAAAUGACGGUACCUGAGUAAGAAGCCCCGGCUAACUACGUGCCAGCAGCCGCGGUAAUACGUAGGGAGCGAGCGUUGUCCGGAAUUACUGGGUGUAAAGGGAGCGUAGGCGGGCGAGAAAGUUGAAUGUUAAAUCUACCGGCUUAACUGGUAGCUGCGUUCAAAACUUCUUGUCUUGAGUGAAGUAGAGGCAGGCGGAAUUCCUAGUGUAGCGGUGAAAUGCGUAGAUAUUAGGAGGAACACCAGUGGCGAAGGCGGCCUGCUGUGCUUUAACUGACGCUGAGGCUCGAAAGCGUGGGGAGCACACAGGAUUAGAUACCCGUGUAGUC